GCUGGUAUAACACAAAGGUAGUGUACUUCCAUGGUAAGGAAGAGGUUGACGGUUCGAGUCCGUCUACCAGCACCA
rnacentral:tRNA from 1 species